rnacentral:lncRNA from 1 species
GGGGGGAGAGAGGCAGUCCAGCCGCAGGGGCCACCCGAACAGUCUCUCCUCCUCACAGAAGCCUGCAUGUCAGCAAAUUGGUGUGGGGUGGGGGUAGCCCCUUCUUUGGUUUGAAGAUAAUUUCAGACUGAGACAUCCCUUUAUGAAAUGGAUGGGCUGGCAGAGCUGAGGCUGGGAGUCAAGAGCUGGGCAUCCAAGAAGAAGCAGCCUCAUUUGUUUUCUGGUGUCAUCGUAGGUGGCCACCUAUGGCUUUUGGGCUUCUCACCUGGGGCGGGUGGGUUCUGCACCACCCUCCCACCCUCCUUCCUCCGUGUGGACGAUAGAGCCACAUCCAGCACCACGGACAGCUCCCGGGCGACCAAAAAGAAGAAUGUACUUCAUCUGGUUGGGCUGGAUUCCCUCUGAUAAGCCUUCCCAGUUGACUGAAAGAUGAGGCUAGGCUCUAGCAAGUUGAAGUCAAACCAGCUCCUUCAAGAAGCUUUGAGCAGAAUGAAGUGGGGAGGACCCAGCUUCCAGCCCAGGAAGCCCACUGUACCUGGAGCCAUCUGGGAUAAGACUUUGACCCAUGACUCCCAUAUCCACAGCCUGUCCAUCCUAGCCCAUCCCAGUUUAUCCUGUAUCAUUUGAGCUGGGAUUCCCACAUCCUCUGAGUUGGAAGUCCCAUCUCAAGUCUUCAAUAAAGACUCUUGAAUAUUGAAUCACAU